rnacentral:rRNA from 1 species
UUUGCGGUGUAAAAUGAGCGUGCGUCCUAUUAGCUAGUUGGAGAGGUAAUGGCUCACCAAGGCUACGAUGGGUAGGGGUUCUUAGUGGAAGGUCCCCCACACUGGCACUGAGAUACGGGCCAGACUCCUACGGGAGGCAGCAGUAGGGAAUAUUGGUCAAUGGGCGCAAGCCUGAACCAGCCAUGCCGCGUGCAGGAUGAAGGCUCUCUGAGUUGUAAAAUGCUUUUGUACAGGAGCAAAAAAAUCCCUGCGGGGAUUCUUGAGCGUACUGUAAGAAUAAGCACCGGCUAAUUCCGUGCCAGCAGCCGCGGUAAUACGGGAGGUGCAAGCGUUAUCCGGUUUUAUUGGGUUUAAAGGGUGCGUAGGCGGCUUAUUAAGUCAGUUGUGAAAUCCUAGUGCUUAACGCUAGAACUGCGAUUGAUACUAUUAGGCUUGAGUUAAGAAUAGGUA